rnacentral:rRNA from 1 species
UGGGGAAUAUUGGACAAUGGGCGAAAGCCUGAUCCAGCCAUGCCGCGUGUGUGAAGAAGGUCUUCGGAUUGUAAAGCACUUUAAGUUGGGAGGAAGGGCAGUAAGUUAAUACCUUGCUGUUUUGACGUUGCCGACAGAAUAAGCACCGGCUAACUCUGUGCCAG